AGAGUUCUCCAGAUCCUCCAAGCGCCGUCGGCGCCACCACUCCAGACACUGUUCACGAGGCCUCAAAGCGUGGAGGCGGUGGCCCGGGGCCGACUCUCGGGUGACCGCCAAUUUGGUCCCAAGACACUUCAGGAUCUCGCAACGGAUGGAGGACAGCGCGGUUCCAAGAGAGGGCGCCAAAGGCGACGCGCUGGCGGCCAGCUCCAAGCCAACCAGGCCCAUUGCGUCCGUCUGCAGGAACCUGUCCCUUCACCCUGCUUUGGACACUGAGCUUCGGAGGAUCUGGCUGCGAGCUGAUUCAACGCCAGGGCGCCGCCUAGAGGUCGGUCGCGUCCUCGGUCUCGCUCACCGACCACAGAGCUGCUUGUCCAAGCCACAGUGUCAGACUUAAACAAAACAAAACAAAAUUCCUGCUUGGAUCAGAGACUUGGCUUCUGGGACCGUUGACUUAUCAGAAACUUGCCUCCUCUCUGCUUCAUAACGAACCCCAGGAAGAGAGAGGGACCAGGGAUCUCAAAGAAAUAUUUGUCCUUGUGGCACCGACUAGGUGGAAGAAAAGUCUCAACAUGUCAGUUUCUUUUAAGGAUCUUAGAUUCUGUGUCUAGGUCUGCACUGGUUCGUCUCACUACCCAGAUUGCUCAGCCUAACCUCCUUCUCCAGUUCGUGCCAGGACGAUGCUUUAACUUCACGAAGAAAGGGGACAUGGAAAAGUUACCCUUUUCUCUUAAAGAUCCAUUACAAGAUUUCUAGAUAAUUUGGAGAUGGACAUGUUUUGGAAAAGAAUUUGGAAAACAUCUGUGUGUGUGUGUGUGUGUGUGUGUGUGUGUGUGUGUGUGUGUGUGCAGUGAUAGGAAAAAAUUGCCCACAUAGCCUUUACUUACUAAGUAAACUCCCACUGGUGUCCCAGCAAUAGUCAAGGGGGUACUUGGAGACACCAGUAGCCCUGCCCAGGGAAGUUUGUGCUGAGCCCUUGAAAGCUGAUUUUUGAGAUAAGGAUGACCUUGGAAGGCAUCCGACCAACAGGGUUGAGGUGUCCUUAAAGUCCAUGCAGGCUUCUUUUUGGAGACUGAGAUCAAAAGCCUGAGUUGUGGAGCUGCAGAGCCUCCAAGAAUGCGUGCUCCGAGAGUGUGUAUACACACAAGGUAUGCUGAGCUAAAGGUGUACCUCUUCGGUUUUCCAAGGAGCCCCUGUCUCCAGUCAUGGAGCUACAGAGACCAGGCCAGCAGUGGGCUGGGAGCCAGCACACUGAUCUUGAGCCAUGGCUGUCCCUGACCAGGCAGCUCUAUUGGAGAUAGAAAAAUAAUAGUUUUGAGCAGCUGAGGACCGUUGGCCCACUCUGUCCUUCUUCCUCCCUCUCCUAUGUCUUCUAGAGGAAAAUGCUAAUCGAAGGUGUCAAGGUGUCACCACAGUGUUUCCAAUAGAAGUGGAGGAUGAUGAAGACCAAAGGGAGGGAGCACACAGUGAGGAUACAUGAUGGGCAGAGCUGCAGGGGCUCCCCCAUGUCAUUUUGGGAAAUAAAUAUUCUGUAGGUAUAAGAUACUUUCUGUCCCAGGUGCUCUUCCCUCUUGGUGCCAGGUCCUCCCACAGGGUGGACUACAACACUACUGCUCACCCCUAGCCAAUCUUUGGCAGAAUGAGACUGCCAAUUCAGCUUUUUUUUUUUUUUAAUAGGAGACACCUUGGUAUUUUCCGAGACCCCUUUAAAAAAAAUCUAUCUGUAUUUUUUUAAUCUCCAGAGGAGGGAGACUUGGCAGCACUUCCUGGAGGGAGGGAUGAGUUGGCUAGGCUGCUGCUGCACCUGUGUGUCUGCGGGACAGGGGACCCCUCCUGGGUCUGCAGCUGAGCCUGAGAUUAUCUCAGCCUUUUGAGUGUAUUUUAGACUCGAAGUUUUGGUGCUUGGUGAUGAAUAAUUGGGGUGAAGGGAAUCCCUUUGCUGUCCCCCCAAAUCGCACAAUCAUGUACUUCCAGUACACAAAGAGGGUCAGAAGCCACUAUCAUGGCUCCUGGUUCUCUGGAGUCCCCGGAGAAAGAGAAAUUUUUUUUUUCCUAUUAGUUUUGCGCUGCAGUGCUCUGGUAGAACAAAUCCGGAUUCCACGAAAAAUGUGGAGGGGGCGGGAGCAAACUGCCCAUGACGGAAGGCAGUGGCAACUUGAGGUCCACUGCUUGCUUUGAUUUGGUUUUGAAGCUUGUAAAAGAAAGGGAGAGAAGCAAGCAGUGAGACUCGGGGACAAGGAACGUCAUUGUGCUGUCAUUUGUGCUUUGUACGCGGGACAAGGAGAUCCCCGCGGGUUUCACCUCUGGAGCGGUUCACUGCUCAGCCUCCUUCAAGCCCUGAGAGUUUUCCAAGUCUUAUCCCCUGUCCUAUUUUAACAAGUACCUGGCAAUAAACGGGUGGGGCAGGACAAAGGUCUGGAAGCCGGAAAGCAGCGGAAAACCCUAAACCCCCGCAACAAGCAGAUAGCACAUCAGCUGGGCUUGUAGCGAGGAGUGCAGGGCUCCCAGCUCUGCCUAGCAGGUUGCUAGGAGCCCCGCAUCCAGAGUCCUUGGCUUGGCUCUGGGUUCUAGGGGCCCAGGUUAGGCGUCCACAGGCUUCCAGUCCUGGCCACGGAGCUAGAGAGAAAGGCACAGAGGCCCGGGAGACUUCUCUCCACGCGGGCAGAGUCUGCAAGCUCCUUUAGCCUAGUAAAUUGUUUUCCUUUCCUUAUACCCGCCCCGGUCGUGUUUCUUUUCAGGACAAGAGGGGAUAUAAACUGUUUGAAGUUCAUCAGCACGGUGAAGUUUUAUUGUAUUUCCGGUCCCUAAAAGAGAAGCCGGCAGCCAGGCAGACUCCCUCCUUAUCUCCGAGUUUCCACGCCAGGGACACACACGUGGCCAAGCGGACACUUGCCUUCGGGAGCAGGGAGGGAGAGAGCCCGCUCCGAUCGACUCUCCCUCACCGGCUCAGGUAAGUCUAAGAGGCCUCUGAUAGUUGUGGCAUCAACUGAGCCACAACCUGUGAGGAUGUGCGAAGUGACUUUGUAGGGAUGGAAGAGAGCGGGAGACAAGGAUGUACUCAGACUAGAGGAAGCAAACUUGUUCUCUGCCUUUCCCCAGCCAGGUCCUCAACGUCUCCACUUCUUUGUAAAUGUGGAAAAGAGUGGCCUACCUGGGGCUGUCCAGCAGCUGUGAAACCAGAGUCCUAUCGUAUGCCAGCAGAGUGACUGUUUCAGCCUUAUUGUUUGUGCCCUAGAAUUCACGGUGCCUUCUAACCCUGACUU
rnacentral:lncRNA from 1 species